CGUGGUCUGACUGAAAGCUAGUAUCGUCACUAUAUGGAGAAUAGAUGGCCUAUCUCUCUCGUUUCAGGUGGCUCAGAAUGGGAGGAUGCAGAUGAUGUCAUCGUAAGCAUGAGGGAGAUGCAGUGUAUCUUCAGGGGAUGAAGAUGAUGAAGAGACGGAUGAUGAUGAUUCUAGAGGAUUCAUAACCAAAACCACAGUGUAAUGGGCAACGCAGGCCGGGCCCACGAUGUGGUGCAGCACGUUGCAGUUCUGGACCAGAGCGCUCAGCGGAUCCCCGAACUCAAUCUCGCCCCCUCCGUCGUCCUCCUCCACGUAGGGGUCGUAGGCACCCCCAACCCCCCCCAGCAUCGCAGCCAGCGGCGCCCCGCUCCCCUCCGAGGGCAGCGCCCCCUUUGGGAGGGCAACCAAUCAGUUAGACGAGUGGUAUCCCAGAAGGCACUGCUUCAGACACCAACUUCACCCCGGAGGGAGGAGACGGCGGCGACUACGCAGACCCGGCCAAUCGGGUCAUCUUCAACGCACAUGCUGAGAUACAGAUCCUUGCUCCUAUUGGUCGAGUGUGUUGUGAUGCCGGCAUGAGUCCAGAGCCGCCACAGGUAGCGCACAGGCCGUCUGUGGGUAACCAUGGAGACGACGUUUGUAAAAAAUAUAAAGGAUUUUGUUGCCUGCAGUAAGCAACCAUCAACACAAGAGGGAAGCACAGCAGAAAUGGCACUCCAAGCAGAAGUGAGACUUCCCUCCUGGUUGUUUGCUGCAACACUGCUUCAGAUCCAACCACCAGCUGACGAGGUCGAGGACAGAGAGAGGACGAGUCGCAGAGAGGAUCGACCCUACCUGGAGGUAAAGGUUCAAA